rnacentral:rRNA from 1 species
CCCUUAGAUGUUCUGGGCCGCACGCGCGCUACACUGAUGCGUUCAACAAGUUUCCUUGGCCGAGAGGCCUGGGCAAUCUUCUUCAUAUGUAUCGUGAUAGGGAUAGAUUAUUGCAAUUAUUAAUCUUGAACGAGGAAUUCCUAGUAAACGCAGAUCAUCAAUCUGCAUUGAUUACGUCCCUGCCCUUUGUACACACCGCCCGUCGCACCUACCGAUUGGAUGUUCCGGUGAAGCCUCGGGAUGAGGACUGGUGCCUUUAUUGGCAUGAGUUGUUCAGAACUUGUCUAAACCUUAUCAUCUAGAGGAAGGUGAAGUCGUAACA